rnacentral:lncRNA from 1 species
ACACAUAGAGACACAGCAUCAUGAAGGCAGAGGCUGCCUCGGGACGGCUCUGCCCCAGGGAGCGUGGGGCCAUCUGAGCCAAACAGAAUAGAGGGCUUGGACACAGCCCCGGAUGUGAGUUGAGCUCUGAAUGUCAAGACCAGUCCUGGACCUAUGACCACCCAGCUGGGAGGGAGCUGACAGAUAAGGAAACUGAGGCCCAGAGUGGUGCUGGAGGUCUCUGAGCCAGGAAGUGGCCCGUCGGGACUGGAAUGCAGGGCCCUGAGCCUGACAGCACUCUCCGGGAAGGGGCUAGAGCCCCGAGGGAUGAGCGAAAUGAUCAUGAUCAUCUUUGUCCCAUGCUUGCAAGUUCUAGAACUGCUACAAAGGAGCAGCCACGAGUGUCCCCCGCUCCCAGACCACUCCAAGCUGCUUCUAGAGGGACUGGACAUCCUGGAGCAGAAACAGUCCCAUUUUCCACUGCUUUGGUCAGGGAGUGAGUCCCCUGAUGUCAUCCGAGGAUAUGAGGCAUCGCUAAAUCUGGCCAUCCCCUGAAGCACCCAGCCUCACCGACUUCCUGAAGCGUGGAUGAACGCUGCUGCCACAAAUGUGCUGUGACAACCGCUGACAAGGAGAGUGAGUGAUGUUUGUGCCAUCCUGCUGAGCACGAGGGAGCUGCUUGGGGAAGCCAGGGGCUGGGGCAUCUCAAUAGCACUGAGGGCAGCCUCGGGGGGGCUUCACAGCACACCCACCCCCAGAUCACUGCUGAUUCUGGGGGAUGCAUGACAGAGCUUUCUGACCUUGCACUUCCCUUUGGCUGCUAAACUGAAUGAAGCCUCCUUCUUAGACCCAACCCCCUACUGAGUGUCUCUCUCUUCUGUUCUUUGCCAUCCCUGCCCCCAAACCUGGAAACUUCCUCUGCACCUCCACAUGCAGUUGGUGCCAAAUGUCUCCCACCUACCUGCCUGGGUCUCUGCCCCUCAGCUUCUCACAAGUGGCUGUGUUCUUCCACUCACCUGCUGGGACACACACUGGCUCACCAGCCCCCAUCCUCUCCACACCGUCUCACCUGCCUGGCUCGCCUUCUUCCCCGUCACCUGUAGACAGGUCAUUUCCCAGACAUACCUGCCCUACUCUGACUAGUUGGCAUGGUGAGGCCGUCACUCCCUUCUCUCCAGGGUCCCAUGUGCUCUCCAGGCACAAAUUCACCCAGACAUUUCUUGAUCUAGCUCUGUCCCAGAAAGCGUUACCUUUGCAAUGGCAAAUACCUGUAUUAAUUGCCGUGCAAGUGACACAUACUUAUCAUGUGCUCGCCUGUUCCAGGCACCGAUGGCUGUCUUUUUUAUUUUGUGUCAGGUUCCAGUGAGUGAGUCUGACUUAUGAUUGUAUAGACUUAGCUCACAUCCUCCUUCCUCCACCUUGACAAUUGUGCUAAUGACAAAGUUGUCAUUUACUGAGCACUUGCCAUGUCCCAAUCACUGUGCCAGGAGAUUUACCUGCAUGGGCUCACAAACUCUUUGCAGUAUUCUUGAAAGAGAGGCAAGUAUGUUCCUCUAUUUUGUAGAUGAGAAAACUGGGCUCAGAAAAUGAAGUCAUUUUGCCCCAGGUCACCCAACCAGCGAGUGGCAGAACUAUGUUUAAAAGUCAGGAUUAUCUAUUCCAGAGACCCUGUGCUGCCCACCAUGGCACACUGCUUCUCCAGUCAAGGAAAGGUAGCUUAAAGAUAUCUGCUUUCCAAAAUGCUUGAACAUUUGUUAGAAUAUGGAAGAAGAUAAUAUAUGGUCCUGUCCUUGAAGAAUUGAUACUCUAUUUGGGGAAACAAAGCAGCUGACAUUGCCAGCCAAUAUUUAUUUAAAUUUCAUCUCAGAAAAAUAGCAAAAGAGAUUUUAUUUAACCUUUCAACAGUGAUUAUCUGAUUAUGUCUGUUUGAGUAUUCUGUAGGAUAGACAGCUAAGGCAGUCAUGGACUCAGUGGGAAAAAGUUCAGCAAUCCAUUAUUAAUGUCUGUUUGGGGCGCAGGCAUGGGUAGUGGAGGUAGAUGUGCCACCAAUUUCAUUUUUCCUAUAUAGUAGAAAACACGAGAGUUUCUAAUAAAUUCCUAACUAUAUAAAGCAGACAAGAGAGGAAAGAGAAAGAUACCUGUGUGAUUGGGAGAGGCUGCCUGAGGAAGGUAAGAUAUGACCUGUUUGGGGUCAUUGUACCCCUGGGGCAUGAGGCAUCAUCAAGGCCAGAUUGAAUUUUCUAAGGUAUGAUAAAAAGUUUGGUUCUUCCAUGUGCCUUGGUUCCUCUUCUCUAAAAUGGCUAAUUCUGUCCAAUUAAGAUCUAGAAGGCCCUUUCUGAUGCCAAUGUUUCUAAAUAAAGAUAUCUAAUAAGGGUGGAACACGUCACAGCUCUCAACCUCCUCUCAGACCCCCCAACAAGCCCAUGAUGCAGCCAUUUUAGAGAUGAAAAACUGAGGCCCAGAGAGCUGACACCCAUGUUAGCAGAAGUUAGUGGAACCCAGUUCUGUUAACUCUAACCAUUCUCUAAUCCAAAAGUAUAUUUACAGAUUUUCAAAUAAUUAGGAAAUGUUAGUAAUAUUUAGAAGCUCCUCAGAUGAUUCUAGUUUUCAGCCAUGGUUGAGAAUGUUGCUAAAAAGUAGUGUUAUGGCUGAUUUCCGAGAAGGAAACAGAGGUUCAGAGUGGUUAAGCAACUUGUCCAAAGUCACACAGCCAGAACAUAGUGGAGUGGGAACUCCACUGAGGCAGGCUGACUGCUUAACCCAUGUGUCUGUUGUGCCCCAGGCACUGUCACAUAUUAUUUCAUUUAAUUCUCUCAACAACUUUGUUUUUUUAACUCUGAAAACUAAUCCAGAAAAGUUAAAUAACCAGCCCAAAAUUGCAGAGCUAAUAAAAGGCAGCUAACAGUGUUUUCUAUCUUGAUUCUAUUUGGGUGGACAAGUGUGUGUACUUGUCAAUAGUCAUUUGAUGGGUCACUUAAGAUCUGUACAUCACACUAUAUGUUGAUUUUACUUUUAAAAGGCACAAAUAAACUGCCCUCUGGGUAACAAU